GAGCGAGGUCAUUAGAUGAAUGAUGAAAUCUUGCAUUGAAGGUUGGCAAUAUGAAACAUUGUGAUUCUCCGUGCCUUUCGAACUCUACUCAUUUCGAUUGUGGCCUCGAACAAAUCACUACAUU
rnacentral:snoRNA from 1 species